rnacentral:rRNA from 1 species
UAACCAUGUAUAAGAGGUCCAGCCUGCCCAGUGACUAUAUGUUCAACGGCCGCGGUAUUCUGACCGUGCAAAGGUAGCGUAAUCACUUGUCUUUUAAAUAAAGACUGGUAUGAACGGCACCACGAAGGUUCAACUGUCUCCUGCAUCCAAUCCAUUAAACUGACCUCCCCGUGCAGAGGCGGGGAUAUAACCAUAAGACGAGAAGACCCUAUGGAGCUUUAAACUAAAGGCAACUGCCAAACCAUCAAACCCACAAGGAUAAACAAUAAAACAAGCAGAAAUUGACCUAAAGUUUUCGGUUGGGGCGACCAUGGAGAAUAAAAAAUCCUCCUUGAAGAAUAGGGCUUACAACCCUUAACCAAGAACCACUAUUCUAAGUAACAAAAUUUAUGACUGCAAUUGAUCCAGUCCUACUGAUCAACGAACCAAGUUACCCUAGGGAUAACAGCGCAAUCCAUUUCAAAAGUUCCUAUCGACAAAUGGGUUUACGACCUCGAUGUUGGAUCAGGGCAUCCCAGUGGUGCAGCCGCUACUAAAGGUUCGUUUGUUCAACGAUUAAAGCCCU